rnacentral:lncRNA from 1 species
AAAGUUAAUUUGACAAUAUUUGAUGGAAGAAAUUUCAAAACAUGACCGUUCGGAUGUGGCUCAUCUUCUAUCCCACCCACUAAUUUCAGUUUGGAGAGGUGAUAAUAUUGAGAAAGGGGUUCUAAGUCUAGGUUUGAGCUAUCAGAAAAUUUCAAGGACACUGACCUAAGGCGUUGCAAUUUGGUUAGCAAGGUUAGGGUAAGCUUCACAUAUUUUGCUCUGGUAAAUGCUAUUCCUAAACUCUGAAUAUUAGUCCACCUAAGCACCGCAUUAUUUUCAACCGGCUUCCCAUCCACCUCUAUGAACUUCAAAGUUUCAAUAUUUUUUGAAGUGAACCCUUGCCGCCAACGAAAUCCAGAUGAGGAAUAUUUCCUAGACUUUAUUACAAUAUGCCUUAAACGUUCUAACUUAAACACACCAUCUGGAAUUACAAUGUCAUAACAAAACUUGAUGUACAAAGUGUACAGAUUCUUCAACCUGCCAAUAGAUCGCGGCAAAAUCAUUUUGUCAUUGUAGUAUAACUUCAAGUAUCUCAAAUGUUGGAGAUUACCAAUUUCAGUCGACACAUGCCACCACUUAUUGCCCCUUUUUGCAAGAGUCAACACCCUUAAAAAUUUGAAGCUUUUGUAUUUUGAAAUGCAUAAUUCUACCAAUCUCACAUUCUGAGAAAACAACAAAGAGCGUAAUUUUGGAUGCUCUCCCUUCAAAUAAACUUUCGAAUGUCUAGGAUGAAUAGAAAUUCUUCGUAGCAUAGAUUCUGCCAAUGUCACUUCAAGUUCAUACAGUGGUUGUUGAAUAAUUUCCAAGAACUUCUCCUCUCUUGCUUUCUUCGUGCACAAGUCCCUCAAGAGAUCAUGCACUCGACAUGUCUCCACAUUUGUUCCUGUAUAGUCUCGCCUGCUAACUUGAACCAAGCUCCUAUCUAUAAGCUCUUCUAGGAAUUUUUCGCCUAAAUCCUCCAUCAAGAAUUCUUCAUUUUCCGGAAUGAAACCUUCAGCGAUCCAUAAACGAAUGAGUUCCUUUUUCGGUAUCUCCCUAUCUUCUGGAUAAUGACUAAGAUACAAAAAGCAUGGUUUUAAAGGAUAAGGCAAGUCAUUGUAGCUUGAAACCAAAAUUCUGUUCACUGCCCCAUAUUGACGAUCUUGAUGUGGGAGCUCAUUUAAGUGUCCAUGGAUGUUUUUAUGAACCAUCUCCCAUUGAGCCACUGACUGUUUUGUUGCCAGCAAGCAACCCAACACAACAAUUGCUAAAGGCAAGCCUCCACAUUUUUUCACCAUCUCUUUUCCAAGCUUCACAAAUUCUUCUGAGCAGCAUUGAGAAGCCAUUUUGCUCCGUGGGAAUGCUUUCCUACACAAAAGAUUCCAACUUUCAUCAUCUGUAAGAAGUGAGAGCUCCACGGGAGUGCUCCAAGGAUCGGCACGUGAAGCCACAUUUUUUAUUCGUGUUGUGAACAAAAUUUUGCUUCCCUUUCUUCCUCGUGGAAAAGCAGGUUUAAGAAUAUCCCAGUCCUCACUUCUCCAAAUAUCAUCGAGGACCACCAAAUACCGCUUUUCUUUCAAAGCAUCAAAAAGCGUUCUCCUCAGCUCAAUCUCGUCCAUUUUCUCAAUUUUCUCUCUUUCAUCGUUAGAAGGAGAGAGAACUUUUUCAUCGUUAGAAGGAGAGAGAACUUUCUUCAAGACACUAAGCCAAACUUCUCUCGGCUUACAUUGUUGUGAGAUAGAAAACCAAGCCAAGAAAUCAAAAUGGUGUCUCACAUCAACAUGAUUAUAUACUUUUCUGGCAAGAGUAGUCUUACCGAGGCCUCCCAUGCCGACUAUGGAAACCACGGCGUGGGGUCUAUCUUCUUCAAACAUCAACAUGGUCAUGACAUCCUUCGUGCUAACUUCCAAGCUAACAACAUCCUCUUCCUCGACAUGUGAGUAUGUCCUUCUAAACUGUUGCUGCACCUUGAAAAUUGAGCUAGAGCCUUCUCCAUCAUCGGGUAUUUCAAAAGCUGGAAGAUUCUCGGAAAUGUUUUGGAGCUUGGUCUUGAUUGCUUUGACCUGCACCCCGAUUUUGUGCAGAUGAUAAGGUUUGGUGAAAAUGGAGGUGAAUCUCUUGACAAUCCCAUGAAAACCUCGUUGGUGUGCUGCUUUAAGAAUAAAAGAGUCGAUGGCAUCUUCAGCAUCAUAAGCAAGAUCUCUGAUUUCCCACACCCGAUUCUGGAAAUGCGCAUCCUGUUCAAACUUGCUAUCCGCGUCCUUCAAGAAACACUGCAUUCGCGUCAGUUCAGCCCUUAGGCUCUCAACUUGAUCUUUCACAUCUUUGAGGAAAACAGCUUCAUGGAUGAGUAGAUCUGAAAUUCUUUCAACAGCUAAGGACACAAUAGCCUCUUCCAUUUCUCCUGCUGGUCCAGAACAGAUUCCACAAACUGAUCUGCAAGUAUUAGUAGAAUAUUUUUUGUAUUAGUGGAUAAGUAUCUCUCUUUAUCAGAAGUUUUGAAGAGCUGUUUUUGGGUGUGAGGUUGGUAAUUACUGUUCUUUGGACAGCAAAUAGCUGAACUUAUUAUUAUUAUUAUGGAACGUAACUUUUUUUUAAUAAAAUAACAUAUAUUCAAACUUAACAUGUGGAUAACCCUUGUCCUAAGUUAGUUGUAUCCCUUCUAACAUCAAUCUUGCUUUAAUUUUAUACACUUCAUAUUUCUUUAAUGUCAUCGACUAACCACAUAAUUAAUUACUAUUAACAUAUUUAAUGACUCUUCCAAUUGUAAUUGAGUGAGCGCUAGACGAAAUUACACCAUCUGUAUUAAGCUUAACCUAACCACUUUCUAGAACUAACCAUUUUAAAUCAAAAGCCAUAAAAUUCGAAUGGAACAUAGCCAUUGAGGGUGGUGAAUAACUUCUCGUCCAACUGAUACCAUCUACCACAUCCUAAAUAGAGCUAUAACUAUCGAAAAGGACAAACAUAUUCCUAUUUUUCUAUAAUAACCAACAUAUUGUUAUUGAUUAAUAGUAAUGUUUAUAGAAAAAUAUAGAGUAAAUCAAAUUUAUUUUGAUAUCAAUAGAUGUUGAUUUAAUAAUGAAAAAUUCAUAACAAUUAUAAAAUAAUUUCUUCCAAUUAAAAAGCAAUUUUUUUUCUUUUUAUCUUUUUAAGAAAGACAAGGCAAGUGGACACAAAAUUCAUUAAAUUUUAAAAGUUAUAAAAUGAUAAUUGAACUAUUUAAAUAUUUUUAUUUUAGUCACUGAUCUAUUCAAUAAUUUUUAUUUAAGUCAUUAGAUUAUUAGCUUUUUUUUCAAACGUCUGAUUAGUUAGGUUAAAGCAACAAUUCGAUGAAUGGUACAAUGGAUCAAUACUCAUUGACGAGUAGAAUAACAUUUACUAGAUCAAGUCAAUUUGAUGGUUGGUGCCGAAGAACGGAGAACAAAACUAUUUAGAUUUAAAUUCGUAGAUACGUGACAUUUGAAGUUGUUUUAUUAAAAAAAAAAACUUAAACUAUAGACAAGCAGGGGUAGAAGAGUUAGCGGGCAAACAAUGAAGGACAUAUAGUAGUGAUUUUAACAACUUAAUGACUUAAAGAAAACUUUUGAAUAAUUUAGUGACAAUUUUGUAACUUUUUAAUGUUAAACGAUUAAAACGUAAACUUACUAAUAGUUUAAUGGCCUUGAAUGUAGUUUACUCCAAUUAUUUAUUAUUUUUAAUGUGUUGUUUUUUUUUACCUUACCUAAAUUACCCAUAAGUAAACUUCAUAAAUUCCAAAAAGUGGAGGAUAGUACGCGUUUAUUAAUGUUCAAACCCAUGUCCUCCAAUUCUUUUUUGCCCGGCCAAUAUAAAAUUUUAUACAGAACGAAAGGACGACUUGGAAAACAACAGUACAAAGAAUGUCGAAUGAAAAUAAGAGAAAAAAUUGAGAAAAUAAAACAAUCACGAUUUUUUUUGUAAAAUUUAAUGGUAAAAAAAAAGUUUUAUAUAAGAGGAGAAAUUUAUUUAUUUGAGGGAGUUUCAUAUAUAAUUUAAAUUUAGAAUUUCAAAACUCAUAACCGUGAAAAAAGUUGUUCAAUAAUUUUUACUUGGUUUGUUCCUACAACCGUUAUAUUAGAGUUUAUCACGUAUGGAUCCGUGUUUGUUUUUCUUUUAGAGUGGGUUUGGAUAGGCAGUAGAGUGCGGUGCAGCGGUGCAAUACGUUUAGUUUAUUUUUUAUCUCACGUUACAGUGUUGUUACAGUAUCUAAUCUCACCGUCAUCGCUAUUAUUACACUAACCGCAGGUAACCGUACCGCACAUCCAAACUCACCCGUAGUUUAUCACAUAUAAUCGUCUCUUUCCUUUCCCUUUUAUAGAUAGUAAGAGGUGUUUAUUGGUUCGAAUUAAGUUUAUGUUUAUUUAAAAUUAUCCAGUUUAAGAACUUAUUUUGUUAUGUCCAUUUAUAUUUAUAACUGGCAUAUGUUCGUCUAUUUUAAACCUGUAAUUUUUAAAUAUAUAUUAUUCUUAAUUUAAUAUUUAAUAUUUUUAAUAAUAUUUUUAUUAAAAUUGAAAUUUAUACAAUAUUUUUUAUGUUUAAAUAAAAUUUAUACAAAACUCUAAAGUGAGUUGGGUUUAGAGGUGAUCAUGGGUUGGACUACUCGUCCCGGCCUGACAGCUCGUCCGAAAAAUGGGAGAGUUUGGGUAAAAAUAUAGGCCCGAAAUAUGAGUUUGGGAAAAAAAGAGGCCCGUUUAGAAAACGAGCCGAGCCUCGAGUAAAACUUUUUUGGCCGGGCCCGGCUCGAAUUAUAUAUUAAAUAUAUAAUUUUUAUUUUAAUCAAAUAUACCUCUAAUUCUGGUUGGUUGAUUAUAUUUUGCAGGUAUUUAAUGCUAUUUUGGUGUUGUAAAAUUUAAUAUGGGUCGGGUCGGGCCGAGCCUAGCCCAUGAUCACCUCUAGUUGGCUUAGGUUUGAGAGAGUUGAAGCUUAACCAGAAUCAAGUUUUUUUUUUUUUUUUUUACUUUAGUCCAAUUUUUAGAUCUUGUUUUUUUUUUCUUUUGAGAAAUAAAAAAUAGAUGCCAUCAAACUUGAAAAUUGAAUACAACCUCUGCAUGUGUACCACACAUCCUACUCUCCUACAUCUGUUAAUCGGUGGAGUAGUUCUUAAUUAAUUGAAAAGUUGUAUCAUACUCAAUUCUUACGGGACUUUAAUCAUCCGAUCUAAAAGAAACAAAGAAUCAAACCCUAAAAAUCAACUACAUCCUAAUUUUUAGAAAAAAAGAAAAAAAAAUCUAUCAAUUUCUCCUUUAGCAAUCCACUCUUUCAUCUACCACCAUCGUUCCACCUUGAAAUAAUCUAUACUUUUAGUAUCCUUGAUGGAAAUUCUUGUAGAAAAAAAAAUCGUUUUAUUCGGUUUUUUUUUAUAUAUAAGAUUGACCUUUUAGCUUAAAUAAAUAAUUGAACUCAUAAAUAAAGGCUUUUUUUAUAAAAAUAAUUCAAAAAUUUUUAUUAUUUAUGAAAACAAUCCAUUUUUUAUUAAACAUGUAAAUGAUCUAAAACCUAUAGUAAAAGUUGGUGGAGUCAAAGAGUUUGGCGUCACCAACAUACCAUAUCAGCAAACGAGAAAAAAAAUUUAUUUAUUUUGGUAGAACCAUGUAGAACGACAUCACUUAUAUAAAUAUUAUUUUUGAAAAAUUAGAAGAAUUUAAAAAAAAUACAUUUUUUCUAAUGAAGCUAAAUAAUUUAACGCUACAAAUUUCUAAAAUUACCUACAUCAUCUAUUUUUAAAAUAUCGUUAUUUGAUGUCAUUUAUGUAUUUAAUAAAAAUAAAUAAUCAAAUUUUUUUUUAUAAAAAAGCCUUAAUAGAUAAUUUAUCAAUUACCAAAUCAAUCAAACUAUUCAAUCAAACAAGGCAAGUUUUAGGCUCAUUCGGAAAAGCCACAGUCCACUCCCGCAGAGCAGCCAUAGCAUAUUUAAUUAUUCAAAAGCCGUGUGCCGUUCGACUAAAACAAAAUUCCAAAAAUAAAAACAAAAUUGCUUGUAGAAAAAGCUUUAGGUGGACACAAAAUUCCAAAAGGGCCAACAGAUUGUCCACACAUUGGGAAUAAAACUUGUUUGCAAUAUCUACAUUGGCAGCCAUACAAUAAAAUUGUAGGAAACUGACAUUAGUAGGCCAACCCUCAUUUUCAUUUCUUCCAAUUAACAGCUAUUUGAACACCCAACAGUCGUUGCUCGUAAUUGAUAGGAUAAGAUCAAACGAAAAAAUAAUAAUUAUUUGGAUCAAUUAUAUUCAACUUCACUAAAUUAUUAUUAAAUUUAUAUUUUAAUUAUUUAACUUUAAAAAAAUUAUAAGAUAGUUAUUGAAACAUUUAACAGUUUUCAUUUAAGUCAUUAAACUAUUUAAAAUUUUUUGUUUAAGUCAUUGAACUAUUAAGUUCUUUUUUAAAAAAAAAAAGUAGUUUGGCUUUUGAGGAUCAAGCGACAAUUCGAUGAACAGUACAAUGGAUCAAUACUCAUCAACGAGUAAAAGAACAUAUAUUAGACUAAGUCAAUUUGAUGGUCGGUAUUGAAAAACUGUUUGGAUUUUAGUUCGUAGAUACGUGAUAUUUAAAGUUGUUUUAUUAAAAAAUCCUAAAUUGUAGAAGAGUAAGGGCAAAGAGUUUAUUAUUGGUGCAGGUGAUGUCAACAAUAAAUGCCAUAUAACAAAAAUUUUAAUAGUUCAAUAACAUAAAUGAAAACUUUCGAAUAAUUUAAUGACCAUAUUGUAGCUUUUUAAAAUUAAUUGACCAAAAUAGUAAUUUAGUGACCUUUAGUGUUAUUUACUCUAAUUAUUUAUUAUUUUUACUGUGUUAUUUUUUAUACAAUACUUAAAUUACUCAUAAAUAAAUUUCACAAUCCGGAUAUUACACCCUUAUUAAGGUUGAAACCCACACCCCAAAUGUUUUUUGCCCGGUUAAUAAUUUUUUUUUAUCAAAAAUGAAAGGACCACUUAGAAAAUAUAGUAUAAAGAAUGUUGAAAGAAAAUAAGAGAAAAUAGACUAGUACAAUAAACAAUAAAUAAAUUUCUAAGCUUUAAAUAUAAAUCUUUCCUUAAAAUCCAUCAACUUAAUAAAUCGACGAAGAAUCAAUUAAUGUUGAGCUUCUUUGCAGGCUUGCAUUUGGAGAUGAAAGAAAGCUCCAACCCUACUAGCAACAACAUGAAAUUGGUAUAUCAUCUUUAAUCUAUACUAAUAAUAAUGAUAAAAAAGAACUUAAAAUAGAAAUUAUGAAAUGAUACUGCAAGUUUCUUUUUAGAAAAAAACGAAAAAGAAGUAGAGAAGUGACUAUUAUUUUAGAGAAAUAAAUUUCUAAUGCACCUAUUUAGAUAUAAGCAAAUUACUGUAUUUGGAUAGAGGGAAUGUGGCCUACUUCAUAGAAAUCCUCUCCUCUUUCAUCUAUCACUUUUAUUAUUUCUUUCAAUGACUAUUAACAUUGACCAAUUCCAAUCUUCAAAGGCAUGGCAUUGCACUCCUUCAACCCUGGUAGAAAUCUAAUUUCAAGAGCAUCAAGUUGAGGAAACCCAUUGGCAAAGCAUAUAAUCUUACUCUCAUCAUAUGUUAAACUCUCUAACUUCAGAAUCCUCAAACAAGGUAACUUUUCCAACACACCCAUUGGAUCAUGGAUCAUCAUAGAGUCAUCUAAAGUUAACUUGACAAUACUUGACGGAAGAAAUUCCAAAACAUGAUGGCUCUGAUGUGGAUCUUCUUUUAUAUGCCCUAUUAACUUCAAUUUGGAGAGGUGACGACACUAAUAAAGAGGUUCCAAUAUGAAGAAUGAGUUGACUUGUCAUGGUUCAUAUAGUCAAGCAAACACAUGUACAAUGACCCAAGGCGAUCCAAUAUGAUUAGCAACAGAAAGAUAGACUUAAUAUCUUUUGAACUCUUAAAUGUUAUUCCUAAACAUUGAAUACGAGUCAACCUAAGUGCCUCAUUAUUUUCAAUAAACUUCUUAUUUACCAUCAUGCGCUUCAAAGUUUCAAUAUUUUUUUGAAGAAAAGCUUUGGCACAGGAGAAAACAACUUUUUUAACAUGGGUAUGUAUACCAUUUCAUCACAAAUUGCCUUAAACAUUCCAACUUGAAUACUACAUUUGGAAUUACAGAGUCAUAAUGGCAUUAGAGGUACAAAGUGUGUAAAUUCUUCAACUAAUUUCCAAUAGCCCAUGGCAAGAGUAUUUUGAGUUUGCAUCUUAAGCUCAAAUGAUGGAGAUUACCAAUUUCACUUGACACAUGCAACUCCUCAACAUUCCUCGUAAGUUUCAAGAAAAGAAAAACUAACGUGAAAUUGAGAAAUUGAAAGGGAAAGUUUGAAACAAAAAGAAUCUACAGAGGUAGAAAAAAACUAGCAGCAAAUGUGAAAACAAAAGAAGAGUGGAAAAGAUGGGAAAGUGGGGAAGUUGGACAUGGGAUGGAGAAACGUGGGAGAAUUUUGGAGAAAUAUUUUUAAUUAAUUUUUUCUUAAAAAAAUAUUAUCCUAUAACCAACAUAAUUUUUUUGAUAACCUAUCUAUUUAUUCAUAAUUCAAAUUUAACUAAACCGGGAGCUCCAAAAAUAAUUUUUGCUUUACAGGGAUUCAAACACGAGAUUUCUAAGCAAGUUGAAACUUUAUUAUUAAACUACUAAAUUCAUUCUUAUUAAUAAUUAAGCAAAAAUAACAUAUUAGAAUAUAGGAAGUUGUUAAUUAGUUAUGAGUCUGGUAAGGUUGUUGUGAAGUAUAGACUGAAUAUUGACCCAAAUGCAAAUGGGGUUCCGUCGUCUAAUUUUGUUCAAGUUGAUCAAAGUGAUCCCGGCUCACCUGAACCGAUUGGCGUUGAUAGAGUUUUACGAUUUACCAAACCGCGUGCUCAGGUUUGACUGGGUUCGAACCAUGUAUUGGGCUUCCUCGGCUAGGGGACUUACAUGCAUCUGAGUAUUCCGAUCCUUCAGAAUCUGGCUCUCAUGUCAAUACUGCUCAACUUGGGUUUGGUACUAGUAAAGAUGACCCAUACGUUCCAGUGCAAGGUGGCACCACAACUUGGUAUCCUGACUCGGGAGCUAGUCAUCAUGUCUGUCGUGAUGUGUCAGCUUUACAUGAUGUCACACCAUAUUCAGGUACGUCAUCUCUUUUAAUGGGUGAUGGUACUCCUGCGGUAAUUUCGUCAAUUGGUACUGCUAUUUUACAUACUCAAUAUAAGUCGUUGCGAUUAUCAAAUGUCUUAUGUGUGCCAAGUAUACGGAAAAACCUCUUAUCCGUCUCACAGUUUGCUCGUGAUAAUGGUGUGUUUUUUUAGUUUCAUCCUAACCAUUGAGUUAUUAAGGAUACGGUGACUCGGGAGACAUUGCUGACGGGCCGCAUUCAUGAUGGACUUUAUCACUUUUCUGUGCCAGUGGGGUCUACUCCGUCUACGGUUGCUCCAUUUGUUGCUCAUUCGCAAGUUCCACAGUAGUUUCAAAUAAUAAUGUGUUUGCUUUAUGGCAUAAUCGUUUAGGCCACCCAUCAACUUCUGUGGUCAAAACAGUUUUAAAUAAAUGUAAUGUUGCUUCAAGUAAAAAUAGUUUGGAUGGUAUAUGUACUGCAUGUCAAAAAGGCAGGUCACAUAAGUUGCCCUUCUCCCCUUCGACUACUAGCUAUCGUCCUUUUGAGUUGGUUGUGUCUGAUCUUUGGGGUCCUGCACCUGUUGCAUGUGGUGAUAAAAGAUAUUAUGUUUCAUUUAUUGAUAUGAGUACUCGGUUUACUUGGGUUUAUCUUUUACGUCAAAAAGCUCAAGCACUAGAAUGCUUUACUCAGUUUCAACAGUUAAUUAAGACACAGUUUGGCAAGUCUAUUAAGCAGUUCCAGAGCGAUUGGGGAGGCGAAUACCGUGGUUUUACGUCUGUCUUAGAAUCUCAAGGAAUCAUACAUCGACUAACGUGUCCGUAUACUUCAGAACAAAAUGGAGUGGCUGAGCGUAAGCAUCGCCACAUUGUUGAAGUAGGUAUUACAUUGUUGGCUCACGAAAGUUUGCCUCUGGAAUACUGGGGGUAUGCGUUUUGCUGUGCAGUUCAUCUUAUAAAUCGACUUCCUACUGUUGUACUUCAAGACAGUUCUCCGUUUAAGGCACUAUAUGGACAUGAUCUGACCUAUGAUCAUCUUCGAGUGUUUGGCUGCUGUUGUUAUCCGUACUUACGUCCGUUUGUAAGGAAUAAAUUGGACUUUCGGUCUCAGCCGUCUACAUUGUUGGGAUACAGUCCUCGUCACAAGGGGUAUCAAUGUCUUUUACCAGAUGGUAAGGUUAUAAUAUCAAGGCAUGUGGUAUUUGAUGAACAGAGAUUUCUGUUUGCUGAGACUAUUCCAGACAAGUCUAUGUUGACGACCACUCAGACUAGUUCGACUACUGUUCCUUUCGUGUGGCCGUCUUAUUCCUCAACUCUUGAGCCUUGCAUGAUGACACAGUCUUUACAAGGGUUGCAAUCUCCGUCUGCUGAUCCUGCAUUAGGUGUUAAUUUAGAGCAGUCUCAGUCUCGUGAUUCUUCAGCUGAUAUCGGGACUGGGUCGGGUAAUCUCCCAGUUCAUGGUUCGUCAGCUAAUGAUGGGACUGAAUUGAGUGAUCCUCCAGCAGUGCAUGGCUCGGGAUCAUCAAGUGAUAAUUCUCAUUCUACUAUGAGAAUGUCUGCAGGUGUUUGAUCGGCAUCUGAUAGUCAGAUUAGUAGGCCACCUAUGGGUAAUACUUACCCAAUGGUCACUCGAGCUAAAGCGGGGGUUUACAAACCUAAGGUUUUAAAUGUUGAAGCUGUUGAACCGACUACGAUUGAAGAAGCUCUGGCUACUGUUGAGUGGCGCGAUGCUGCGCAAGCUGAGUAUGAUGCUCUUAUGUGUAAUUCCACAUGGGAGCUUGUUCCCACUCCGUCUAAUCGUAAGAUCAUUGGGUGCAAAUGGUUGUUCAGAAUCAAGAAGAAUUCUGAUGGUACUAUUGCUCGACAUAAGGCUCGUUUAGUCGCAAAAGGAUGCUCCUAAGUUCUAGGUUGUGACUUUAAGGAAACGUUUAGUCCAGUGGUCAAACCGGCUACUAUCAGAGUUAUUUUCUCUAUUGCUGUGUCUAAGUGGUGGUUGCUUCGGCAAGUUGAUGUGAAUAAUGCGUUUCUAAAUGGCGAUCUGGACACUGAAGUUUUUUUGCAUCAACCUCCUGGUUAUGUUCAAUAUGACUCACAUGGUAGACCUUUGGUGUGCCGUCUGAAGAAAGCGUUGUAUGGUCUUCGUCAGGCUCCUCGUGCCUGGUUUGAGAAGUUAAAAGGAUUUCUACUCUCUGUGGGGUUUGUGGUAUCAAAGUCUGAUGCUUCUUUGUUUGUUCGAGUGGUAUCAGCUUCAACAUUGUAUGUUUUGGUAUACGUUGAUGAUAUCAUUAUUACUGGUGAUGUGCCUUCUGUUAUAGAGUGGUUUGCUAAGUUGCUGAAUAAUAAGUUCUCACUUAAGGACAUGGGUGAUCUCCAUUAUUUUCUUGGGAUAGAGGUUACUCGUUCUUCCUCCGGUUGUCUUCAUCUAUGUCAGAAGAAGUAUAUUCGUGAUAUUCUCAUAAGGUGCUCGAUGGAAAAUGCGAAGAGUGUUCACACUCCGAUGAUUAGUUCCUCUAUCUUAACUAGAGAUGGUGGGGAACGUUUGGAGGAUCCAACUGAAUAUAGGAGUCUUGCAGGAGCAUUACAGUAUGUUACUCUUACGCGGCCUGACGUUGCGUAUGCUGUAAAUCGAAUAUGUCAGUUUAUGCAUUGUCCCACUUCCAUACAUAUGACCGCUCUGAAGCGGAUUUUGAGGUAUCUAGGUGGAACGAUUGAUUUUGGGAUUGUAUUUCGUCCGUCUACCUUUUUGUCAUUAGUUGGGUAUGCUGAUGCAAACUGGGGUUUAGAUUUUGAUGACCGGAGAUCUACUACUAGAUACUGUGUGUAUUUUGGACAUUCUCCUGUCUCGUGGUGUACGAAAAAAUAGCAGGUUGUUGCUUGGUCUACUGCUGAGGCAGAGUACCGAAGUCUUGCUGCAGUUACUAGUGAGGUUACGUGGCUUUUAUCGUUACUUCAAGAGUUGCAUGUUCAGUCUACUAGCAUUCCUGAUAUUUGGUGUGAUAGUUCUGGGGCGGUUGCAGUUGCUGCUAAUCCUGUUCUUCAUUCCAAGUUUAAGCACGUUGAGUUAGAUUUAUUUUUCGUUCGUGAAAAAGUAGCUAAUGGUAUUAUUGCUGUUGGCGAGGUUCUAGCUUGUGAUCAAGUUGUUGAUGUUCUUACUAAACCGCUUUCACUUUCGAAUUUUACUCGAUUUCGGAGUUUUCUACAGGUGUUACCUGUGGAGAAGAUGGAUGAAUAUUAGAAUAUAGGAAGUUGUUAAUUAGUUAUGAGUCUGGUAAGGUUGUUGUGAAGUUUAGACUAGUCAACAAAGUCUAUAAAUACUGUAAGUUGAGAAUUCAGAAGUAAGCAAUUUUGAAUACAAGAGAAAGAAAUUCAUUUUAUCCUCUCUUUUAUUUCUGUUUGGCUAGUUCUUUCAUAACAUAUAAUCGAAAUAUUCAAGGAUUGGGGACGGAACAAAAAAUAACAAAAAAUUUUUAAAAAAAAGAUUUGCCGUAACUUCUGUUUCAUCAGUAGGCUUGUCUCAUAUAUAUCAGAGUAAAACUGCUUACAAAUGUGAGGCUAAGAUUUUUACGUUUCAGAAACAUGUAUAUAUAAUGCUUCUUGGUUGGUCGAAAAUGAAGCAUAUAACACGGUUAUCUUAGUACAUAGAGUUCCCUGAAUUUACUACAUUUUGAUUUGUGUAACCUUAUUAAAACAAGUCUUCAAUAUCAGUUGCUACUUUGUUGUUAUUGUUUAUAGGAAGAAUAAAUUAUGUGAAACUCAACUUUCUUAAGCACACUAACUUUUGUGAAUUUAGAUUAAAAGGGAGUUUAGUUCACAAAAUAUUUGAUUAACUUGACAAUUAGUGCAUUACUAGAUAUGUUAAAGUACCGCGUUUGGUUCAAGGUAAAAGUUGAAAUAAUUCUAGACUCAAAGAUAUUUAAUUAUCGGUUUGUUCUUAGUAUAUAGUAAAUGAGUAAAAAGUUUUGAUUAAAAAAAACUUUAUGGAAUUAUUAAUAUAAUUGAUUAAACAGUUAAAAAUUUUAAAAUGAUUAAUGUCGACUCUUUUUAUAAAAUAUUCGGGUGGGGAUUGGUAUAAAUCUGUUAAAAAAAUUUAAUCAUCAUUCCACAUAAGUCAAGGUUAAUAUAAAUCUGUUUUAUAUAUUUUGUUAUAAGAAAACGCACAUAUUUUUGUUAUGUCAUAUAAAUAUACAUGUUAUAUGUUUUGAUUAACAUUGUAUCAUCUAAUUUUUAAUUGAAAUAGUGAGUUGUAAAUUUAAAUCGGUUAUUUUACUAUUUAAAUAAUGAAUUUAACCAUUUAACAUCUAAUGAGUUAUUUAGAAUUUCUUUCUUCGGUUUAAAUUGAUUAAUUUCAAUUAAAUAGAUGCAAAUGAAGAACCAAUUAAUAAGAAGAUAAUUUUUUAAAAAAAUAAGCAAAUUGGGAGGCCGGAAACGAGCCUUAGAUAUAUAGCAAACAAUCACUUCAUUCAAAGCUCAUGGUAUAUAGCAAUCCAAUUCUUAUAAAAAUACAUAUACACACUUAAUGAAAUUAGAUAUCUCGGGAAAGUGCAUUCUAGUGCUGAUUAGAUAACCUGCAUCAAGAAGAAAAAUGGUAUGUACAUAUCAUCAUCUCUUAUGUAUAAUAAUUAAAAAUAUGAAAUAAUAAAAUGAUACUAAAAUUUUAGUUUUUCUAGAAAAUGAUUCGAAAUUCUUAUUUUUUUAUAUUUUAAUUACAAUUUUUAUGGUAAUUAAAGAUAUAUUCAUCUAUUGUAUUAUUUUAUCAAUAUUAUAUUAAUCUCUAACUCUAUGGGUGAAAAAGAAAAGAAAAAAGAAUGUAAAAAUUAUUAUUUUAUAGAAAUAAAUACCUCACCUGAUGUUGGCUCCUAUUAUUUUGGCAUCAAAAAAUGUCGGAUGAAGGGAAUGUGGCGCACUUUAUAGAAUUCCUCUCCUUCUCUUCCAUCUAUCACUUUAAUCCUUUCUUUCAAUGACGAAGAUAUUCCUAUUAAAUUCAAUUUUUGGAGAGUAGUCAUGUAUCUCAAUCCUUCUGGAAGCAUCCUUAAACUCUCAACAUUGGCCAACGUCAAUUCUCGAAGGCAUGGCAUUGCACCUUCUUCUAUUUCCCACUCCUCCAACAUAAUUAACAUAAUUAAAAGAUAAUCAAGUUUAGGAAAUCCAUUUGCAGAGCACACCAUUUUACUCCCAAUAUAUGCUCCCUUCAAAAAGAGAAUCCUCAAAUGACAUAGCUUUUCUAAUACCGCCAUUGGAUCUUGUCUCAGCCCACAGUCAAACAAAGUUAAUUUGACAAUAUUUAAUGGAAGAAAUUUCAAAACAUGACCGUUCGGAUGUGGCUCUUCUUUUAUCGGACCCAGUAAUUUCAGUUUGGAGAGGUGAUAAUAUUGAGAAAGGGGUUCUAAGUCUAGGUGUGAGCAAUAAAAAAAACAUAAGGACACUGACCUAAGGCGUUGCAAUUUGGCUAGCAAGAUUAGGGUAGGCUUCACAUAUUCUGCUCUGGUAAAUUCUAUUCCUAAACUCUGAAUAUUAGUCCACCUAAGCACCGCAUUAUUUUCAGCCGCCUUCUCAUCCACCACUAUGAACUUCAAAGUUUCAAUAUUUUUUGAAGUGAACCCUUGCCGCCAACGAAAUCCAUCUACGUGGAAUUUCCCAACCGAUUUUAUUACAAUAUGCCUUAAACGUUCUAACUUAAACACACCAUCUGGAAUUACAAUGUCAUCACAAAACUUGAUGUAUAAAGUGUACAGAUUCUUCAACCUGCCAAUAGAUCGCGGCAAAAUCACUUUGUUAUUGUAGUAAAACUUCAAGUAUCUCAAAUGUUGGAGAUUACCAAUUUCAGUCGACACAUGCCACGGCUGAUUGCAGUCGCUCCUUUUUGCAAGAGUCAACACCCUUAAAAAUUUGAAGCUUUUGUAUUUUGAAAUGCACAAUUCUACCAAUAUCUCAGAAUGAGAAAACAACAAAGAGCGUAAUUUUGGAUGCUUUCCCUUCAAAUAAACUUUCGAUUCACUAGGAUGAGUAGAAAUUCUUCGUAGCAUAGAUUCUGCCAAUGUCACUUCAAGUUCAUGCAGUGGUUGUUGAAUAAUUUCCAAGAACUUCUCCUCUCUUGCUUUCUUCAUGCAAAAGUCCCUCAAGAGAUCAUGCACUCGACAUGUCUCCACAUUUGUUCCUGUAUAGUCUCGCGUGCUAACUUGAACCAAGCUCCUAUCUAUAAGCUCUUCUAGGAAUUUUUCGCCUAAAUCCUCCAUCAAGAAUUCUUCGUUUUCCGGAAUGAAACCUUCAGCGAUCCAUAAACGAAUGAGUUCUUUUUUCGGUAUCUCCCAAUCUUCUGGAUAAUGACUAAGAUACAAAAAGCAGGGUUUUAAAGGAUAAGGCAAGUCAUUGUAGCUUGAAACCAAAAUUCGGUUCACUGCACCAUAUUGACGAUCUUGGUGUGGGAGCUCAUUUAAGUGUCCAUGGAUGUUUUUAUGAACCAUCUCCCAUUGAGCCACGGACUGUUUUGUUGCCAGCAAGCAACCCAACACAACAAUUGCUAAAGGCAAGCCUCCACAUUUUUUCACCAUGUCUUUUCCAAGCUUCACAAAUUCUUCUGAGCAGCAUUGAGAACCCAUUUUGCUCCGUGGGAAUGCUUUCUUACACAAAAGAUUCCAACUUUCAUCAUCCGUAAGAAAUGAGAGCUCGAUGGGAGUGUUGCAAGAAUCGGCUCGUGAAGCCACAUUCCUGUUGCGUGUUGUGAACAAUAUUUUGCUUCCCUUUCUUCCUCGUGGAAAAGCAGGUUUAAGAAUAUCCCAGUCCUCGCUUCUCCAAAUAUCAUCGAGGACCACCAAAUACCGCUUUUCUUUCAAAGCAUCAAAAAGCGUUCUCGUCAGCUCAAUCUCGUCCAUUUUCUUAAUUUUCUCUCUAUCAUUGUUAGAAGGAGAGAGAAAUUUCUUCAAGACACUAAGCAAAACCUCUCUCGGCUUACAUUGUUGAGAGAUAGAAAACCAAGCCAAGAAAUCAAAAUGGCGUCUCACAUCAACAUGAUUAUAUACUUUUCUGGCAAGAGUAGUCUUACCGAGGCCCCCCAUGCCGACUAUGGAAACUACGGCGUGGGGUCUAUCUUCUUCAGUCAUCAAUUUGGUCAUGACAUCCUUGGUGCUAACCUCCAAGCUAACAACGUCCUCUUCCUCGACAUGUGAGUAUGCCCUUCUUAACCGUUGCUGCACCUUGAAAAUUGAGCUAGAGCCUUCUCCAUCACCGGGUAUCUCAAAAGCUGGAAGAUUCUCGGAAAUGUUUUGGAGCUCGGUCUUGAUUGCUUUGAGCUGCACCCCGAUUUUGUGCAGAUGAUAAGGUUUGGUGAAAAUGGAGGUGAAUCUCUUGACAAUCCCAUGAGAAUCUCGUUGAUAUGCUGCUUUAAGAAUAAAAGAGUCGAUGACAUCUUCAGCAUCAUAAGCAAGAUCUCUGAUUUCCGACACCCGAUUCUGGAAACGCGCAUCUUGUUCAAGAUUGCGAUCCGCGUCCUUCAAGAAACACUGCAUUCGCUUCAGUUCAGCCCUUAGACUCUCAACUUGAUCUUUCACAUCUUUGAGGAAAACAGCUUCAUGGAUGAGUAAAUCUGAAAUUCUUUCAACAGCUAAGGACACAAUAGCCUCUUCCAUUUCUCCUGCUGGUCCAGAACAGAUUCCACAAACUGAACUGCAAGUAUUAGUAGAAUAUUUUAUGUAUUAGUGGAGAAGUAUUUCUCUUUAUCAGAAGUUUUGAAGAGCUGUUUUUGGGGGUGAGGUUGGUAAUUAACUUAUUAUUAUUAUUAUGGAACGUAACUUUUUUUUAAAUAAAAUAACAUAUAUUAUCGAUAACCCUUGUUCUAAGUUGGUCAAAGUCCUUCUAACAUCGAUCUUGCUUCAAUUUUAAGUACUUCAUAUUUUCUUAAUGUCAUUGACUAACCACAUAACUAAUUACUAUUAGCAUCUUUAAUGAUUUCUUCAAUUACAACCGAAAUUGCACCAUCUGUAUUAAGCUUAACUAAAUCACUUUUUGAAGCUAAUCAUUUUGAAUCAAAAGCCAUAGAAUUCGAAUGGAACAUAGUCAUUGAGGGUGACGAAUAACUUCUCGUCUAACUAAUACCUGUAUCUACCUCAUCCUGAACAGAGCUAUGACUAUCAAAAAGUACAAACAUAUCCCUAUUUUUUUAUAAUAACCAACAUAUUUUUAUUGCUUAAUAGUAAUGUUUAUAUAUAAAAUAUAGAGUAAAUCAAAUUUAUUUUGCUAUCAAUAGAUGUUGAUUUAAUAAUGAAAAAUUCAUAACAAUUAUAAAAUAAUUUCUUCCAAUUAAAAAGCAAUUUUUAAAAAGGACUAAAAGAAAACUCGCUUGUUUUUUUUUUAUUCUUUUUAAGAAAGAAAAGGUUAGGUGUACACAAAAUUCCAAAAGCACAAUAGAUUUUCCACGUUGAAAACAAAAGCUGCUUUCAAUUUCCACAUUGGAUUCCACACAAAAUCGAUAAAGUAAAAUGGCAUGUGAAGAAAAAUUAUAAUCACUCACGUUAGUAGGCCAACCCUCAUAACAGUCAUUUCUCAUAACUGAUCUUAUAAGAGUGAGUUUAGAUGGGCGGUGCGUCUAUUUAUUAUUAGUGUAAAAAUAACGGUGGCGAUGAGAUUAAAUACUAUAGCAACAUUAUAGCGUGAGACAAAAAGUAGGUCAAACGCACCGUACCGCACCUAAUCGCCCAUCCAAACCCACCUUAAGACAAAAAAAAAGGGUUAAUUACUCGGGUAAAUUAUACUUAAGGUCACUAAAUUGUUAAUAAAUUUAUGUUUUGAUCAUUUAACUUUAAAAGUUUUAAAAUGAUUAUUGAACUAUUUGAAAGUUUUUAUUUUAGUCACUGAUCUAUUCAACAAUUUUAUUUAAGUCAUUAAACUAUUAGUUUUUUUUAAAAGUCUGAUUAGCUAGGUUAAAGUGACAAUUCGAUGAAUAGUACAAUAGAUCAGUACUUAUCCACGAGUAGAAUAACAUAUACUAGAUCAAGUCAAUUUGAUAGUUGGUGCCGAAGAACGGAAAGCAAAACUAUUUAAAUUUGGAUUCGUAGAUACGUGACAUUUGAAAUUGUUUUAUUAAAAAAAAACUUAAACUAUAGACAAGCAGGGGUAGAAGAGUUAGCGGGCAAACAAUGAAGGACAUAUAGUAGUGAUUUUAACAACUUAAUGACUUAAAGAAAACUUUUGAAUAAUUUAGUGACAAUUUUGUAACUUUUUAAUGUUAAAUGACUAAAACGUAAACUUACUAGUAGUUUAAUGACCUUGAAUGUAGUUUACUCCAAUUAUUUAUUAUUUUUACUGUGUUGUUUUUUAUGCAUUACCUAAAUUACCCAUCAAUAAACUUCACAAUUCCAAAAAGUGAAGGAUAGUACGCGUUUAUUAACGUUCAAACCCAUGUCCUUCAAUUCUUUUUUGCCCGGCCAAUAUAAAAUUUUAUCCAGAACGAAAGGACGACUUGGAAAACAACAGUACAAAGAAUGUUGAGAGAAAAUAACACAAUCACGAAUUUUUUUUAAUUUUAAUGGUGAAAAAGAGGGUUUUAAGAAGAGAAAUUUAUUUAUUUGAGGGAGUUCCAUAUAUAAUUUAAAUUUAGAAUUUCAAAAUUCAUAACAACUCAAUCUUAUCCGUGAAAAAAAAGUUGUGCAAUAAUUUUUACUUGGUUUGUUCCUACAAUAGUUAUAUUAGAGUUUAUCACGUAUGGAUCUGUGUUUGUUCUUCUUUUAGGGUGAGUUUAGAUGGACAGUAAAGUGCGGUGUAGCGGUGCAAUACGUUUAGUUUUUUUUUUUCUCACGUUAUAGUCUCGCUACAGUAUCUAAUCUCACUGCCAUUGCUAUUAUUACACUAACCGCAGGUAAAUGCACCGCCCAUCCAAACUCACCCUUAGUUUAUCACAUAUGCUCGUCCCUUUCCUUUCCCUUUUAUAGAUAGUACGAGGUGUUAUUGGUUCGAAUUGAGUUUAUAUUUAUUUAAAAUUGAUCCAGUUUAAAAACUUAUUUGCAUAUGUUAGUCUAUUUUAAACCUGUAAUUUUUAAAUAUAUAUUAUUCUUAAUUUAAUAUUUAAUAUUUCUAAUAAUAUUUUUUAUUAAAAUUGAAAUUUAUCAAUAUUUUUAUGUUUAAAUAAAAUUUAUAUAAAAGUCUAAAGUGGGUUGGGUUUAGAGGUGAUCAUGGGUUGGGCUACCCGGCCCGGCCCGAAGGUCUGCUCGAAAAAUAGGAGGGUUCGAGUAAAAAUAUAGGCCCGAAAUAUGAGUUUGGGCAAAAAAAGAGGCCCGUUUAGAAAACGGGUCAGGCCUCAGGUAAAACUAUUUUGGCCCGGGCCCGAAUCAUAUAUUAAAUAUAUAUAUAUUUUUAUUUUUAAUCAAAAAUACCUCUAAUUCUGGUUGGUUGAUUAUAUUUUGCAGGUUUUUGAUCUAUUUUGGUGUUGUAAAAUUUAAUAUGGGUUGGGCCAGGCCCGGUCCAUGAUCACCUCUAGUUAGGUUAGGUUUGAGAAAGUUGAAGCUUAACCAGAAUCUUUUUUUUUUUACUUUAGUCCAUUUUUCAGAUCUUAUUUUUUUUUUCUUUUGAGAAAUAAAAAAUAGAUGCCAUUAAACUUGAAAAUUAGAUACAACCUCUGCAUGGGUACCACUCAUCCUACUCUCCUACAUCCGUUAAUCGAUGGAGUAGUUCUUAAUUAAUGCAAAAGUUGCCUAAAAGAAACAAAGAGAAUAUAAAAGAAUCAAACCCUAAAAAUCAACUACAUGCUAAUUUUUAGAAAAAAAAAAACCUAUCAAUUUCUCCUUUAGCAAUCCACUCUUUCAUCUACCACAAUUGUGCCACCUUGAAAUGAUCUAUACUUUUAGUAUCCUUGAUGGAAAUUCUUGUAGAGAAAAGAAAUCGUUUUAUUCGUUUUUUUAUAUAUAAGAUGGACCUUUGAGCUUAAAUAAAUAAUUGAGAGGCUUUUUUUUAUAAAAAUAAUUCAAAGAUUUUGGUUAUUUAUGAAAUAAUUCAUUUUUUUAUUAAAUAUGUAAAUGAUAUAAAACCUACAGUAAAAGUUGGUGGAGUCAAAGAGUUUGGCGUCACCAACAUACCACGUCAGCAAUCGGGAUAAAAAAAUUUAUUUUUUUAGUAGAACCAUGUAGAGUAACAUCACCUGUAUAAAUACUAAAAAAAUACCGCUAUGUUUGAAAAAUUGGGGUACCUUAAAAGAAAAAACUUUUUUUCUGGUGAAGCUAAAUAAUUUUACGCUACCAAUUUCUAAAAUUACCUGCGUCAUCCAUUUUUAAAAUGUAGUUAUAUAUUUUAUGUCAUUUAUGUAUUUAAUAAAAAUAAGUAAUCGAAUUUUUUUUGAUUAUUUUUAUAAAAAAAGCCUUAAUAGAUAAUUCAUCAAUUACCCAAUCAAUCAAACUAUUAAUCAAACAAGACAGGUUUUAGCUUCACUCGGAAAAGCCACAGUCCACUCCCGUAGAGCAGCCAAAACAUAUUUAAUUAUUCAAAAGCCGUGUGCCGUUCGACUAAAACAAAAUUCCAAAUCAAGAAGCAAUUUUUUAAAAUAAAAACAAAAUUGCUUUUAGAAAAAGCUUUAGGUGGACACAAAAUUCCAAAAGCGCCAACACAUUUUCCACACAUUGGGAAUAAAACUUGUUUGCAAUUCAUAAUUGAUAGGAUACGACCAAAAGAAAAUAAAGAUAAUUAUUUGGAUAAAUUAUACUCAACCUCACUAAACUAUUAACAAAUUUAUAUUUUAAUUAUUUAACUUUAAAAAAUUAUAAGAUAAUUAUUAAACUAUUCAAUAGUUUUUAUUUAAGUCAUUGAACUAUUAAGGUUUUUUUUUAAAAAGUAGUUUGACUAGCUAGGUUCAAGCAACAAUUCAAUGAACAGUACAAUAGAUCAAUACUCAUUAACGAGUAUGUCGAAACCGCCUUUUCGAAAAUAAAAAUUUAGUUGUCGACUUUAAAAAUAAAAACUGAAGUUGCCACCGAUCCUUGAUUGAGGUGCGAUCGGUUCACCUUAAAAACAAUUUCGGCCUGCGAAAUUUGAGAAAACAAGUUCGGGAGUCAGUUACGCACGAGGAAGAGUUAGCACCCUUGUAACGCCCAAAAUCGGUACCAAAUUGAUUAUUUAAUAUCUUGGUGUCGAAAAUUUAAAAAGAUUUUAAAAUCAACUCAAAUGAUGAAAUUUGAAAAAGGAUAAUCAAUUGUUCAAGUCAUGUAAAGAAAUCGAGUCCCAAUACGUUAGGGUACAAUUCCUCAUAAUCCCCGAACUUUGAAUAUCACUUUUAUUUUAUGUAAAAAUCUUCAUUUUGAGAAAGUAAUAUGUCACACCCAAUACGUUAGGACACAACAAAUUAAGUUCCCGAAAAUAAUUUUUUAUACUCAUGCAUUUUGAAUAAAGAAUAUUCUCAGCUAUUUAAGAUAAACAAAGAAAAUCGGAACCCAAUACGUUAGGACUCAAUUUCCUAGAAAAUCCCAAACUUUGAAUAUUCCUUUAUUUAGGAAAAAAAACUUUGAAUCACGGGUAAAACUUUGAUGUAUUGUCAAAUCCAAAAUAUAUUUUCUAAAGGAUAUGUUAAAAAGUUGAUGUACAAUAUGAAACAAAACUUUAGUUUAAAAACAUAUGUGAAUAAAUAUCUGCAAAAUAUAUACAUACAAGUACAAUAUACAAGUAAAUUUGCAAAUGUGUGUACACAUAUAUUUAACACACAUAUACAAGGAUACCUAUAAAAAAUGGAAUGGAAUAUAUCAAUCAAAGACUAAUAAAAAAAUGCAUGUAUGUAUUUAAAAAUCGAAAAUAAACAAAAAGUAUGUAUAUGUAUAUGUAUAUAUAUUUACAAAAUAAAAAUGUAUAAGUAUAUAUGUGUUGGAAAAUCAUGAAAAUACGUAUAUGUAUAUUAAAACACUUAUAUAUAUAUAUGUAUAAUAAGUAUAUAAAUAAUGGGAUAUGUAUAGGAUAAUAUAUAUUUAUAAAAAAUGUGUAUUUUGAAUCGUAAAAUAUGGGAAACACGUGCAUUUUGAAAGGGAACGUUUGAAACAAAAAGAAUCAACAGAGGUAGAAAAAAACUAGCAGCAACAAAACUAAUGUGAAAACAAAAGAAGAGUGGAAAAGAUGGGAAAGUGGGGAAGUUGGACAUAUGGGAUGGAGAGACGUGGGAGAAUUUUGGAGAAAUAUUUUUAAUUAAUUUUUUCUUAAAAAAAUAUUAUCCUAACCAACAUAAUUUUUUUGAUAACCUAUCAAUUUAUUCAUAAUUCGAAUUUAACUAAACCGCUAACACAUGGGCAGCACACUUAGGGAGUUCCAAAAUUAAUUUUUGCUUUACAGGGAUUCAAACACGAGAUCUCUAAGCAAGCUGAAACUUUAUUAUUAAACUAGUAAAUUCAUUCUUAUUAAUAAUUAAGCAAAAAAUAUAUAUAAUUUAAAUAUUCAAGGAUAGGGGAUGGAACAAAAAUAAAAAAUUAAAAAAAAAAAGAUUUGCCUUAACUUUUGUUUCAUCAGUAGGCUUGUCUCAUAUCAGAGGAAAACUGCUUACAAAUGUGAGGCUAAGAUUUUUACGUUUCAGAAACAUGUAUAUAAAUGCUUCUCGGUUGGUCGAAAAUGAAGCAUAUAACACGGUUAUCUUAGUACAUAGAGUUCCCUGAAUUUACUACAUUUCGAUUUGUGUAACCUUAUUACAAAAACAAGUCUUCAAUAUGAGUCCCUACUUUGUUGUUAUUGUUUAUAGGAAGAAUAAAUUAUGUGAAACUCAACUUUCUUAAGCACCCUAACUUUUGUGAAUUUAGAUUAAAAGGGAGUUUAGUUCACAAAAUGUUUGAUUAACCUGACAAUUAGUGCAUUACUAGAUAUGUUACAGUACCGCGUUUGGUUCAAGGUAAAAGUUGAAAUAAUUCUAGACUCAAAGAUAUUUGAUUAUGGGUUUGUUCUUAGUAUAUAGUAAAUGAGUAAAAAGUUUUGAUUAAAAAAACUUUAUGGAAUUAUUAAUAUCAUUAAUUAAACAGUUAAAAAUUUUAAAAUGAUUAAUGUCGACUCUUUUUAUAAAAUAUUCGGGUGGGGAUUAGUAUAAAUCUGUUAAAAAAUUUUAAUCAUCAUUCCACAUAAGCCAAGAUUAGUAUAAAUCUGUUUUAUACAUUUUGUUAUAAGAAAUCGUACAUAUUUUUGUUAUGUCAUAUAAAAGUAUACAUGUUAUAUGUUUUGAUUGACAUUGUAUCAUCUAAUUUUUAAUAGAAAUAGUGAGUUUAAAAUUUAAAGGGGUUAUUUUACUAUUUAAAUAAUGAAUUUAACCAUUUAACAUCUAUUGAGUUAUUUAGAAUUUCUUUCUUCGGUUUAAAUUGAUUAAUUUCAAUCAAAUAGAUGCAAAUGAAGAACCAAUUAAUAAGAAGAUAAAAUUUUGAAAAAAUAAGCAAAUUGGGAGGCCGGAAGCCAGCAUUAGAUAUAUAGCAAACAAUCACUUCAUUCAAAGCUCAUACUAUAUGGCAAUCCAAUUCUUAUAAAAAAUACAUACACACACUUAAUGAAAUUAGAUAUCUGGGCAAAGUGCAUUCCAUAGCUGAUUUGGUAAACCUACAUCAAGAAAAAAAAUGGUAUGUAUAUAUCAUCAUCUCUUAUGUAUAAUAAUUAAAAAUAUGAAAUCAUAAAAUGAUAUUAAAAAUUUAGUUUUUCUAGAAAUAUAUUCAAAAUUCUUAUUUUUUUUAUAUUUUAAUUAUAAUUUUUAUGGUAAUUAAAGAUAUAUUCUUCUAUUCCGUUAUUUUAUCAAUAUUAUAUCAAUCUCUAACUCUAUGGGUGAAAAAGAAAAGAAAAAAGAAUGUAAAAAUUAUUAUUUUAUAGAAAUAAAUACCUCACGUGAUGUUGGCUCCUAUUAUUUUGGAAUAAAUAAUGUGGAUAGAGGGAAUGUGGCGCACUUUAUAGAAUUCCUCUCCUUCUCUUCCAUCUAUCCCUUUAAUCCUUUCUUCCAACGACGAAGACAUUCCUCUUAAAUUCAAUUCUUGGAGAGUAGUAAUGUAGCUCAAUCCUUCUGGAAGCAUCCUUAAACUCUUAAUAUAGACCAACUCCAAUUCUCGAAGGCAUGGCAUUGCACCUUCUUCUAUUACCCACUCCUUCAACUGAGGUAAGCACCACAUAUGAAGAUAAUCAAGUUUAGGAAAUCCAUUUGCAGAGCACACCAUUUUACUCCCAAUAUAUGCGUCCUUCAAAUAGAGAAUCCUCAAAUGACAUAGCUUUUCUAAUACCGCAAUUGGAUCUUGUAUGAGCUUACAGUAAAACAAAGUUAAUUUGACAAUAUUUGAUGGAAGAAAGUUCAAAACAUGACCGUUCGGAUGUGGCUCAUCUUCUAUCCCACCCACUAGUUUCAGUUUGGAGAGGUGAUAAUAUUGAGAAAGGGGUUCUAAGUCUAGGUGUGAGACAUCAAAAAAACAUAAGGAUACUGACCUAAGGCGUUGCAAUUUGGCUAGCAAGAUUAGGGUAGGCUUCACAUAUUCUGCUCCGGUAAAUGCUAUUCCUAAACUCUGAAUAUUAGUCCACCUAAGCACCGCAUUAUUUUC